GAUGAACGCUGGCGGCGUGCCUAAUACAUGCAAGUCGAGCGAACAGACGAGGAGCUUGCUCCUCUGACGUGAGCGGCGGGCGGGUGAGUAACACGUGGAUAACCUACCUAUAAGACUGGGAUAACUGCGGGAAACCGGAGCUAAUACCGGAUAAUAUAUUGAACCGCAUGGUUCAAUAGUGAAUGACGGUUUUGGUGUAAGUUAUAGCGGUAUCCGCGCCGCAUUAGCUAGUUGGUAAGGUAACGGCUUACCAAGGCAACGAUGCGUAGCCGACCUGAGAGGGUGAUCGGCCACCCUGGAACUGGGACACGGUCCAGACUCCUACGGGACGCAGCAGUAGGGAAUCUUCCGCAAUGGUCGAAAGCCUGCCAGAGCAACGCCGCGUGAGUGAUGAAGGUCUUCGGAUCGUAAAACUCUGUUAUUAGGGAAGAACAAAUGUGUAAGUAACUAUGCACGUCUUGACGGUACCUAAUCAGAAAGCCACGGCUAACUACGUG
rnacentral:rRNA from 1 species